rnacentral:lncRNA from 1 species
CUUAACCUAAAAUCCCUUUCUAUAUAACAAAAAAUACACCCUAAGAUAUAGCUAGACUUAUACACACAAGAAAGGAAGCAGCGCCGUUCAACAAGAACCCCACCCCCAUCCUAUCGAUUGAUAUUCUUCUUCAGAGAAGAAGCAGCCUUCUGACAUGGCUUCAUCCUAACCAAAAAACAACACCCAUCAACUAGCUAUCACCCUCACAACCAACGACCCCUGCUCUCUUCAACCACACAGACCCUCACCAAACCGGCGGCGAACUCGUCGGAAAACGCCGUUGCCAUCCUCUCCGCCACCUCCCUACCCUCAUCUCUCCAUCGUCUCUCUCUCGUGGUCAAGAGAGAUUAUAUAAUGCAAAAACCUCACCACCUAACAUCCACCAACAGCUCGCCGGAAAAUGAGUUCCAGCCGAAGCAGAGCAUUAACCAAACGACAAUCAGCCACCCAUUUUAAAAAAAUAAAAACAAACCAAUUAAAUCUAUAAACUAAGAAAAGGUUUCUGAAAAUCCGUAUUUCCAAGAAGUUUUUGAGAUCAAAAUUUGAUGCUCGAUUGUUGAAGUUUUUUGAACCCGUGUGAUUUCAGUCGAGGUCUGUUCGAGGCGUCCAUUUCCGGUCACUGUUACUGUUGAAGCUUAAAUUUUAGCAGCUAUUUUCUUCCUUUUAAGUUCGCUCUGUUGCUGCUAUUGCUUAAAUAUAUCUGGUAAGUUCUACGCCCUAUAAUUACCCGAGCUUGAGUUGAUGAAUGAAAAUCUGGUGUUUUGAUGACCCUAUCAUGUAUUCGGUUUGCUUGUUUGGCUACUGAUAUUUAUGAUUUACAUUAAGUGUGUUUGAUGUUGCUUUAUUAAUAUGUGUUGAACGAACUCAGGUUGUACCAAAUAGUGAAUCGUGAAUGAUAAGUGCAAAUGUUGAUUAGUGUUAAGUUUGAAAUCCCCAUGGUGUAGUAGCGGUUAUCCUUGUAACUAAUUAAUCUUAUUUAAAUUUAAGUUUCAGUCCAGAAUUAGGAUACUUUGUGAAAUAUUAGGUUGUAUGCAACUUUGUUGGAUUGGAUCUACAAAAAAAUUCUCCCAUUGAUUGCGUAUGCUUGAUAAUAAAAUUCUAGCUCUCUGUUGAUAUGUGCUUUUUGUUGUCAUUCAUGAUUUCAAUUAGUUUAAGUUUGAAUUUGAACAUGCCGCAGUAGUACAACAUUGCUUAUGACAAAUAAAAUAAAAGGAUUGUUUCUAGAUCAAUGUAUCAUGUGGGCACUUAAAUCCAUAAUGGUAUAAAUAAUAUAUAAUUUUAGUUAGUGCUAGACUCUUAUUACGUUGAUGUAGUGUUCUAAGCCAGUUUUGGGUUUCAAUGACGAUACAUCUGCAAUUUACGAAUUUGGACUCAAACCAUCCACGCAUUAAUUCUACGAGUUGUGGGACCUCUAGUCUCAAACAAUUUUAGCAAAAUUAGUCUAACUAUGAAUAUUCGUAGCUUGUUUUAGGCCCGUUUAAUGUAUCAUUGUGAUUGUGACACAUUCGCGUGACAUAAUUACGAUUUCUAAAAACAAAACCGGAGUAUGUGUUCGCGCAACUUCGGCCAAACUUUCUUAAUAAUAAUAAAGCGUUAUUAAUUGUGGACACGUUCGCGUGACAUGAUUUUUGACGCGCCAAACAAAUGGGUACACGUACGUGUGAUCUGUUUAAAGAUAAUUUUUUAAUUAAAAGAAGCAAAUGCACAUAGGUUCUAAAACGAGUAAUAGACAAUUUGAUUAAUCCAAGUAUGAUCAAAGCGACCGUGCUAAAACCACGGAACCCGAAAAUGCCUAACACCUUCUCCUGGGUUAACAGAAUUCCUUAUUCAGAUUUCUGUGUUUGCAGACCGUAAUUAGAGUCAACCUUCCUCGAUUCAGGAUUUUAAACUGGUGACUUGGGACACCAUAAAUUAUCCCAAGUGGCGACUUUGAUUUUAAAUAAAUAAUCAUGUUUCGAGUGUCACUUAAAUUGGAAAAAACUCUCUUAUACCCUUUUUCGGGGGUAGUAAAAAGGAGGUGUGACAGCUCUGCCGACUCUGCUGGUAACAAGAACCCAGAACUUUUGGUUCAGGGUUCAAGAAUUCGAGCUUGUUUUGUGAUCUUUAUUUGGCUUUAUUUAUUGUUCAUAUUACUGUAUUUGCGGACCUAAUGUGCUAACUGCUACUUAUUUACUGCUUUGAUAUUAUUUGAAUUGUAUUAAACUGUUUUCUUACGCUUCCCAUCUGAGUCUUCUAAAAAAAUGGUGCACAUGUUCGCGUGGCCCACUUUUCCUGUUAGAAGUUAUACCAAAUAGAACGAGGUUGAGCUAGCAACAAGGCCGUGUAGACUUUCGUGCUCCCGGUAUGUCGCCCCCUCUUCGGCUCGAGUAGUCCGCUCGGGUAAGCCAGGUCAAGAACAAAACCCAAGUUUAAAUCUAGAAUAACAUAACCUCAUGCCGGAUCCCGAGUAGGAAUGUUUGUUGCAUCAUGUGCAUUAGACUUAGAGGACUCAACACAGGGGUUGGGUCCAUCUAGGAUAGGUAUACCCCAAAAAUAAAAGAUCAUCCUGAUGCAUCCUAUGUGCUAAAUGUUGCAAUCUUCAAGGGUAAAAUGGUCAUUUGGCGGACCAAUGAUAGUUGAGGGAAAAUGAAAAAAAAAAAGAAAAAAAGUGGGUGAAGUGUGAAAAUAAAGCAAGUAGGUCCCAGUAAUAAUUUUCUUUGACACUUUUUCAAGAAAAAGACCAAAAAAAAUGAAAAAUCCAUAUAGAUUUUGCACUUUCCCAUUAUUUUCCAAAAAAAGAGGAAAAAGAAAAAUCCAAAAAGAGUUUAUAUGUGUCAUCAUUUUUCAAAAAAAAAACACAAAAAAACAUAUUUUCUCUAAAUUAGUUAUUUUUUUUAAAUUCUCGCUCGUAUCCAAUCUGCCCGAACUAUGCAUACCUGAUUCUCGUCUUUCGGGGUAGGGUACGGUCUUCCUAGUAAAUCUUAGGUUCUUGGCUUUGCGGGGUCUUAGCCAAAUUUUGCACUUCUAGCCAUCUUUUGGCCACAUAAGCCAUUUUGCAAAAAUAGCCUCAAUCAUGUCUUGCAUGCCUCCAAUAGGGAGUGUUAUUGUCUCACAUAGUGUUCUAGGUCUUUGACUUUAUUUGGUCUUAAUUUUCUCAUACAGGUGUGGGUCUACUUAUCGGAGUUUGAGCAUGACAGACACCCCGGAACCAUCCAGUCAGGAUCGCUCAGUCAAGAAUUUCUUAAGGAGAUUUUUUAUUUUUAUUUUUUAUGUUUUGUGUCUAUUUUUUCUUUUUAUGUCGUCUUUUACCUUCUAGUUUUGUACAGUAAUGUCGAGUCUUUUGUUAUUGUACUUUUUAUUUUGUAUUUGAAAAACUUUGUUGUAACUCAAAAAUCCAAAAAAAAAUGAAGAUUUCGCGUUUUAUAUUUCCGUUAGAAGUUUC